AUGAUGACCCAGUGUUUCCCUGAUGAAAAGGUGAAGUGAAUGACAUAGGCAUUGUGACCUCAUGGUAGGCUGUUGCUAAUCCUACAUUGUCUCUAAAGGAACAUUGCUGUGCCAUGAUGACCUCGGUUGACUGGGAUUACUGAAACGGGGACAGAAAAUUAUGGACUGGGGAAACUGCUGGCCCAACUUCCUUCAUCCCUGUCUCCUGGACUCUUCCACGCUGUUUCUGCUUUUGCUUUCAUACUGGGAUUACAUAAGUCAUACUGCAGGCUUAUGAACUUAGUCCCAAAGGUUUGCACCUCCGACUCCAUCUCCUCAGCACAUGAGCCCUGGAAGAAUUCCAGCUCCUCCGUCAUUGCUGCAGAGAGCACACCCUCCCCACACCCAACAGCCACCAGGCUCACUCCUGAAGUCCUACCAUCCAGAAACAAACCCUGCUUUUCAGUCAAAUGGUAUCCAUGUCCAUGGUCUGAGUCCCUCUAAGUCAACAGUGCUAAUGGGCUGCGAAGAAGGGGCCUGUCAACCGUGUGCAUAUGUGGUCCAUGUGCUCCAGCACUGGUAUUUUUCAUGAACUAUGUCAGCAAAUAGACCAAGGUUAGAAUCUGGCUUCUGAUGAAUUAUUCUAACAUGGCUGUUUCUUUUUCAGUAAGUUGGGGACAAUACAGCUUAUCUGAAGGACUGUGGUCAGCAUAAAGAUUGUCUAUGUAAAACCCUUAGGUCCGUGCUUGGCUCUAAACCAACAAAUACGUUUUUAGAAGUUGUCCAAAUAGAUGGUAUAACACUGAUUAAAUUAUUCUUUGGUAAUAUCCAUGCAUGGGAACUGCCAGUGAUGGAGCUCUGGAUUUAGUAGCGGGUUAUAUAGUGGUUACUUUAGUUCUGCUGCUGAUUUGCAUUAAGGAAAAGGCUAGACUAAUAAAUAAUUCCAAAUAUAUGGCUAUUUAGAAAUAUUAGUAUGACUGGAAGAGUUUCCUGCUUUGCUUGCAUGACAUAAAAUGAACUAAUUAUCAGGUACAAAGUCUUCAACAGUCCCUCUGCUUCUAUGCCAUUUGUUUCCACUACCUAGUUGCAAAGAAGAAAUAUCAAAUGACUAUGUGGAUAAGGUGUUUUGACACUAAAGUAUCUGGCGAGUAAUGAAUGUGUAUUCCCCUAGGCUUUCCCUUGAGCAAAACUUGAGUAGAAUCGGUCUGAUAAUACAUGGCCCCCAGACUAGAGACUGAUGCUCUUUUAGGGGCUUCUUGCCUAUUAAUCCCCUCUUCUCAAUGGCCUCUGUACUACAUUACAGAAGGUAUUCAAAAGGAGAAGGUCACAGAUUCCUAAGAGAAUCAUAGCCAUGAUGUGGAUGAGGAAAUGAGAAGAGCCAGGAGAGGUGAAGAUAAUUCUCUUCUUUGUCCCUCUCUCAUUUUCUGUCAACAUUUGUAUUUUCAGAGAUGGCCUGUGCUAGUCAGUUAUUGCCAACUCGACACAAACUACACACAUCUAGGAAGAGGAAACCCAAUUGAGGAAUUGUCUGCAUCAGAAUGGCCUUGGCACAUUUUCUUGAUUGACUGAUAAUUGAUAGAGGAGAGCCCAGCCCACUGUGGGUGGUACUUCCCAUGGCUCAGUGGCCCUAGGUUAUAUAAAGGAAGGUAACCAAUCAAGCCAGAGUAAGCAAACAGGCAAGCAGUGUUUCUGUGUGGUCUCUGUCUCAAUUCCUGCAUGGAGUCCUUGCCCUGCCUUCCUCAGUGAUGAACUGUUACCCGAAAGUGGAAGAUGAAAUAACCCCUUUCCUCUCCACGGUUCUUUUUGUUCAUGGUGUUUAUCACAGCAAUAGGAAAGCAGCUAGAAUGUGAUUUUAAUGUGGGUGAGUAUGGAGAUUGCUAAUCUUCUGUUAGUGACCAUGAGCUUUAACUUAAGUAGGACCCACCAGGAAGGCCGAAGGAAGCCCCUCAUCCCCUGAGUGCAUAGAGGGCUGGUUCUGCUCCUUCUUUCUUUUCGGUGGCCUCUUUUCACUUUCCUGUGCUCCUCAUCUGUGGGCAUAGCAAACCCUCCAUGCUCCCAAUCCAAUUGGGAUAUCUCAUCACGUUCCCCUUCUCUGGGUUACCAUGCAUAUCUCUCUUAGGGUCCUCCUUGCU